GAGCUUGAGGACUGAAUCUUCCAACAUUCAGCUGGGUUCAAAAAUAUAUCAACUUUUCUAAAUAAAAAUACCAGUUUAUGUCCGUUGUUCGUUUUUUGGGUAGGUUCUUUUGAUCAAUAAAGUUUGGGGCUGAUAAAACCGAGAAAGAGAAGUUCCAACGAGAGGAAUGGUUCGGUCACAUGCUACGAUUCAGAAACGAUGCGAUUAUUACAUUGAGUAUUAUAUGCCUCCAACUUCCUUUUUAACUGGCGUAUGCACAUUUGUACGAGAUCAUUGGAUCCGAUAUCAUAAAAAACAAGAGAAAACGGGAAAAGGGAAUGGCAGCCAGAAUAUCUUAUUUUAAUUCUAGGGUUGAGAAGGAGUAUUUUAAGCCUCUAUAUUCCGCCAGUGUUGGUGAUGAACUCGAAGAUGGGCUCUUUGAUGUCAUGAAUGGAUUCAACCUGUGUAACUCAAGUUUCUAACUUGAUCUCCUCUUUGGCGUCAUAGUAGUUGGUGGGAUAAUGGGCUGGUACUGAAGAUGGAGCUACUAUUAUGCACAACAUGGUUGUUGAAGGGUCGUCAAGCGCUGGUUCCAUGAACAUAGUAGUUGGUACUAAUACUCGCAU